rnacentral:rRNA from 1 species
UGGGGAAUUUUGGACAAUGGGCGCAAGCCUGAUCCAGCCAUUCCGCGUGAGUGAAGAAGGCCUUCGGGUUGUAAAGCUCUUCCGCAAGGGAAGAAAACUUAGUCUCUAACAUAGACUGAGGUUGACGGUACCUUGAUAAGAAGCACCGGCUAACUACGUGCCAGCAGCCGCGGUAAUACGUAGGGUGCGAGCGUUAAUCGGAAUUACUGGGCGUAAAGCGUGCGCAGGCGGUUCUGUAAGUCAGAUGUGAAAUCCCCGAGCUCAACUUGCGAACUGCGUUUGAAACUACAAGACUAGAAUAUGUCAGAGGGGGGUAGAAUUCCACGUGUAGCAGUGAAAUGCGUAGAGAUGUGGAGGAAUACCAAUGGCGAAGGCAGCCCCCUGGGAUAAUAUUGACGCUCAUGCACGAAAGCGUGGGGAGCAAACAG